AACGAACGCUGGCGGCAGGCUUAACACAUGCAAGUCGAGCGCCCCGCAAGGGGAGCGGCAGACGGGUGAGUAACGCGUGGGAAUCUACCCAUCUCUACGGAAUAACUCAGGGAAACUUGUGCUAAUACCGUAUACGCCUUUUUGGGGAAAGAUUUAUCGGAGAUGGAUGAGCCCGCGUUGGAUUAGCUAGUUGGUGGGGUAAAGGCAUACCAAGGCGACGAUCCAUAGCUGGUCUGAGAGGAUGAUCAGCCACAUUGGGACUGAGACACGGCCCAAACUCCUACGGGAGGCAGCAGUGGGGAAUAUUGGACAAUGGGCGCAAGCCUGAUCCAGCCAUGCCGCGUGAGUGAUGAAGGCCCUAGGGUUGUAAAGCUCUUUCACCGGAGAAGAUAGUGACGGUAUCCGGAGAAGAAGCCCCGGCUAACUUCGUGCCAGCCGCCGCCGUAA
rnacentral:rRNA from 1 species